rnacentral:rRNA from 1 species
GAUGAACGCUGGCGGCGUGCCUAAUACAUGCAAGUCGAGCGAACGGACGAGAAGCUUGCUUCUCUGAUGUUAGCGGCGGACGGGUGAGUAACACGUGGAUAACCUACCUAUAAGACUGGGAUAACUUCGGGAAACCGGAGCUAAUACCGGAUAAUAUUUUGAACCGCAUGGUUCAAAAGUGAAAGACGGUCUUGCUGUCACUUAUAGAUGGAUCCGCGCUGCAUUAGCUAGUUGGUAAGGUAACGGCUUACCAAGGCAACGAUGCAUAGCCGACCUGAGAGGGUGAUCGGCCACACUGGAACGGAGACACGGUCCAGACUCCUAAGGGAGGCAGCAGUAGGGAAUCUUCCGCAAUGGGCGAAAGCCUGACGGAGCAACGCCGCGUGAGUGAUGAAGGUCUUCGGAUCGUAAAACUCUGUUAUUAGGGAAGAACAUAUGUGUAAGUAACUGUGCACAUCUUGACGGUACCUAAUCAGAAAGCCACGGCUAACUACGUG